GCGGGGCGGGGACAACGGUGCGGUAGGAAGGUUGGGGUUAAUAUCGUGCGAGCGCCGUCGUCGUGGCUGCAAGGAAAUCGACACUGAUGCAACCCACUACGACCACUGCUCCUCGGCAUCAUGGGAGUGCCCCUCGCGCACGUGCAUGUGUGUGCUGCUUAGCCUCUCUUGCGCCUCAGCAUUGAGGACAGUACUAUCGUAAUUGCUUCUCCUUCAUGCUAUUGGAUUUUCCCCUUGUGCUCUAGGUUUUUUGAGUCUUGUGUUGGACGAGUCAAAUCUCUUCUUUGAUGUAUAUGUCUAAGUUCUCUUCUUCAAUUCAUGGCAUGCAUACUGCACAGACUUUAUUUAUCAUGAUUAUAAUAAUGUCGGGGAAUAAGAAAUUAAAGGAGCUCGUUUGGGGAGGGCCAUGGUCAGGCUAGCUGCAGCAGUGCCAUGGCUUUCAUUCGUGUUCAUUAUCUGAUCUUCUUCGAUGUAUACGUCUAAGUUCUCUUCUUCAAUUUUGGCAUG
rnacentral:lncRNA from 1 species